UGCGUGUUUACUAUGGUCGUGGAUUCUACGUCAUUUCAUAUGGUGUAGGAACCUAUAUUUUGAAUUUGUUGAUUGGGUUUCUGUCACCAAAGGUGGAUCCUGAGCUGGAAGCUUCGGAAGGUGCUUCUUUGCCACCUAAAGACAAUGAUGAAUUUAGACCUUUCAUUCGCCGGCUACCAGAAUUUUUGUUCUGGUGAGAGCACUUACCUCAAAAUAUAACAUAUUCAUUGUAAUUUACUUUGUUCAUUAGGCUUUGCAUCUCUAAUGGUAAGAGGGGUUGCUCUGAUGGUAAGCAACCCCCACUUCCAACCGAGAGGUUGUGAGUUCGAGUCUCCCCAAGAGCAAGGUGGGAAGUUCUUGGAAGACAGUGAUGAAUUUAGAUCUUUUGUUCGCCGGCUACCUGAAUUUUUGUUCUGGUGAGAUCAUAUACCUCAAAAUAUAGCAUAUUCGUUGUAAUUUACUUUGUUCAUUAUGCUUUGCACCUCUGUUUCAACUGUUGCUGUUUGACUCAUGUCAUGGUAAUAGUUGCACAAUGUAAUGUGGUGAUCAACUUUUCUUGUUUUAGGCAGCAAAGAUACAGUAAUUUACACUUCAUUAUUGAAUUUGUGACGAACGACUUUUCAUGAUUCCAUUUGUCCAUGUCGUGAAUACGCAUCGUCGUGCAAUAAAGUGGUUCUUUUGAGCAUAGUAAUUGUCAUGGAUUAGCUUGUUGCUGAGCAGGCUAUUGUUCUAAAAACAUGAAAAAUAUCAUUCUUUGCUAGUUAGUAUGAUAUAAGGACUAGUCUAGUCACUGCAUUUAAUCAAGAGGCAGCAUAACACAGGGUAGGCAUUGAUGAUUCCUAUUUAAACUGGGGAAGGAUGACUGAUUAACACGUGUUAACUGACCUAAAUGUUAUAUUAGCUGCACGUGCGGAGUUUUU
rnacentral:lncRNA from 1 species